rnacentral:ncRNA from 2 species
GUGAAGGAUAUGAGAGAGCGCUUAUAAUUAAGCCGCCGAAGGGACAAGUUUUGUUUAUCCCAAUUAAGCAAAAUGAAAUUCUCAGGCAAAAGGAUUAUAUCUGGAUA